rnacentral:lncRNA from 1 species
AGCUUCCCGGGUGGUCGUCCGGCCAGGCCAGGCCGCGCAUUUCGCAGCUGGGAAGAAGCCCUCGCUCAGCUCAGACGCCGAGUCGGAGAACCCGCAUUAGGGUUUUCCCAGAACCCCCACCAGAUCUGCGAGCAGGCGAAGGCCGAGGACGAGAGAGAGAGAGAGAGAGAGAGAGAGAGAUCAGCGCUUCAGAUUCCGAAGGAGACGAAGAGGGCGGGGUCGCAGAGGGGAGGAGGGCGAGGAUAGGUGUGGGAUUUGCUUUGGGGAGAGCUUUUGCUUUGGGCUUCUCAGCUUUGGCCGAUGCAGUGGAGAGAGAGACAGAGAGAGAGAGAGAGAGAGAAAGUGAGAGGGGGGUUGGCUGUGUGUGUGA